ensembl:lncRNA
CUCCAGGCAAGACUACUGGAGUGGGUAGCCAUCCUUUCUCCAGGGGAUCUUCCCAACCCAGGAGAUAUUCCUGACCUAGGGAUCAAACCUGGGUCUCCUGCAUUGCAGUUGGAUUUUUUACCAUCUGAGCUACCAGAAGAAAGGAGGCUAAGAGGUGAACUGUAACCACGCUGAAGGCAAGUUCAGUAGCUGCUCAGACGGAAGAAAUGCACUGCUGUGUGUCUCCUGCAGCCCUGGCUGGAACGCGUGCAGGAGGAACGACAGCGCACGCCCACGCCUGGCCGUGUUGUCAGACACAUCCCGACCUGAGUGGUCAAAUGAACGACCGAAUGACCGAC